GACGAACGCUGGCGGCGUGCUUAACACAUGCAAGUCGAACGGAAAGGCCCUGCUUUUGUGGGUUUCUCGAGUGGCGAACGGGUGAGUAACACGGGAGUGACCUGCCCUUGACUUUGGGAUAACUUCAGGAAACUGGGGCUAAUACCGGAAAGGAGCUCCUGCUGCAUGGAGGGGGUUGGAAAGUUUCGGCGGUUGGGGCUGGGCUGGCGGCUUAUCAGCUUGUUGGUGGGGUAGUGGGUUACCAAGGCUUUGACGGGUAGCCGGCCUGAGAGGGUGACCGGCCACAUUGGGACAGUGCUACGGCCGAGAGUCCUACGGGAGGCAGCAGUGGGGAAUAUUGCACAAUGGAGGGAAGCCUGAUGCAGCAACGCCGCGUGCGGGAUGACGGCCUUCGGGUUGUAAACCGCUUUCGCCUGUGACGAAGCGUGAGUGACGGUAAUGGGUAAAGAAGCACCGGCUAACUACGUG
rnacentral:rRNA from 1 species